rnacentral:pre_miRNA from 1 species
UAUUUAGUAUAAGUAUUUCCCAUGAACUACUGGGGAUAUACUUAUACUAAAA